UACGUAGGGUGCAAGCGUUAUCCGGAAUUAUUGGGCGUAAAGAACUCGUAGGCGGUUUGUCGCGUCUGCUGUGAAAACUGGGGGCUCAACCCCCAGCCUGCAGUGGGUACGGGCAGACUAGAGUGCGGUAGGGGAGAUUGGAAUUCCUGGUGUAGCGGUGGAAUGCGCAGAUAUCAGGAGGAACACCGAUGGCGAAGGCAGAUCUCUGGGCCAUAACUGACGCUGAGGAGCGAAAGCAUGGGGAGCGAACAGG
rnacentral:rRNA from 1 species